rnacentral:rRNA from 1 species
GAUGAACGCUGGCGGCGUGCCUAAUACAUGCAAGUCGAGCGGACGGACGCUAAGCUUGCUUCUCUCAUGUUAGCGGCGCGCGUGUGAGUAACGCGUGGAUACUCUCCCUGUCUGACUGAGAUCACUUCGGAAAACCGGCUCUAAUCCCGGAUGAUCUUUUGCACCGCGUGGUUCAAAAGUAAGAGACGGUCUUGCUGUCACUUCUAGCUGGAUCCGCGCUGCAUUAGCUAGUUGGUAAGGUAACGGCUUACCACGGCAACGAUGCGUAGCCGACCUGAGAGGCGGAUAGGCGACACUGGAACGUGGACAGGGUCCAGACGCCUAAGGGAGGCAGCAGAAGGGAACCUGCCGCAAUGGGCGAAAGCAUGGCGGAGCAACGGCGCGUGAGUGAUGAAGGUCUUCGGAUCGUAAAACUCUGUUAUUAGGGAAGAACAUAUGUGGAAGGAACUGAGGAGAUCGUGACGGUACCUAAUCAGAAAGCCACGGCUAACUACGUG